GAUCCUAAUAUGCGUGUUUGGAAAGUUUGCAUGUGGGGAGGAAACAGUAGAUGUGACAACCGAGGUGGAAUCAUUGUUGCAGAAUGGUCGUGAAAGCAUCAGGGAAAGCCUCGGCGCUGACUCUAACAGAUGAACAUGAGAGCAGCCAGGCUGAGCAGAAAGAUCCGAAGGCUGUAAGAAAGAGUCGACAUGAUGAGCAGCGCCGAACUGAACUCUGGAUCUGAAGAAGUCUGCAGACUGCUCACUUUCUUAAAGUGUGAAGAAAGAACCAGCAAGGGAGGACCUUUUAUACCACGUUUAAACCAGGUUCCUAUUUUUCAGAAACAGGAAAGUGUUGUAAUUUCAUGAGAAACAUCUAAAGUGGAAAUAAUUAGUAACUGUGGCAAUAAACAAUCACACCCACAAUGAAAA